rnacentral:lncRNA from 13 species
ACCCGAAACACAUUAAAGAAGAUAGAGGAUAGCUGUACUAUGAAAAUGUCAUGUCAGGAUGAAGAGGAGAUUAGGAAAAACAAGGCCUACAACAACUAUGGGAAGAAAAGUGAUAAUUUAAAAAAUUUAAAAAGCCGAGGACUUUGCACUCAAAUCUCCAGACAGAAGAUUUUGUUGGUGACUAUGGAAAUAUGUUCCAGAUGAUAAAACUGAAAUUAAGCUGAGGAAUUUACCCAAGUCCACUCAUGGAGUAAAUGGAGAACAGGUAAUAGAAAUCCGGGUCCGUCCGUCAUGCAAUGCAUGCUUUCACCUGUUUUGGUUUUCUGUUUGUUUCUCAUUUAUGCCACUCUAAGUCUGUAGUAUCUUGCACAAAAGAACACCCUUUAUCAUUCGGCUGAAUAACAGCUCUUUUUGUAGGAGUUGAGCUUCAUUUACGCCUUUGACAUUUUAAAGAGCUGUGAAGAAAAGAAACUUGGAGAACUCUUCUCUUGUUAUUUCUAAAAAUCAUUCAGUAUGUGUAUGUUGGUGGGGAAAGACAGGUUUAAAUAUUGCAUUUAUUUUUGAAUUUUUAAUUGGCGUAAUAAUGUAUCGUCAUUUAAGUUUUAACCUAGAGUGAUGUGAGCAAGAAUAUUGCCCACUCAAAUUAGGCUGCAAAAUCCCAUACAGUUUGAUUAACAGAUAACAUUCUUUAUUCAGCUUUGGUUUGUGGCCUGUAUAACAAAACAAGGUGACCCUCAUACAUUGAAACUAUGAAUUCAGCCAUCCCUUAAUUUUAUUUCCUUCAUUGCCUUGUGUACAUACACAGGAAAAGAAAAAUGUCUCAAUACAAAGUUAAACUUCCCUUGGCCUGGAUGUCAGCAGAGGCCCUAAAAUUUUUGAAGAGUAAAUCAAUGUUCUCUAAGAUUAAAGCUUUGAGGCACAGUAAAUCCUCAAUAGAGUGAUAACUAAGACUGCACCCAUGUCUGCGGACAGAAAAUGUUGCCAAUCCUCAAAGCAUAUCUCUCUUGUUCUUAAAGAGAUAAGAAUACACUAU